CAAAAGGCCACUCCCGUAAUUUCACUUUUCCAAUUCCUCUUUUUCCUUGCCACCUGUUCUUACGAAUCCAUGCGCUAGAUCCAAAAUUGUAUACAAAACAAUUCUGCUUUUCUGCUCCAUGCAAAGUACCACUCACCUUUCAUCUCAAUUCCACAAAGCUUUCCUCCUGCCAACAAUAAGGACGAAAAGAUUUGCAAAACUUUAUUAUCGGAGGUGCCUUUUUGGCUUGAUUCGCUGGAACAAGGAAAAGGAAAAUAAAUUGGUCUAGCUCAUCAUAUACUAACACCUCUGCUCUUCAUCAACAGUCAUAUACGUUAGGCUCUUCAAUUCAACAAGAAUACUCUAAAAUAAUCUUUCCAUCAAAUGUCUGAUAACAAACGAAUGAUAAAUUCACCUCAAACUGAACAAUCAGUCACCUCAAAAAAGUCCGAGAGAAAUCUAAAACGCCGAAUUGCUUACCAACAAAUGCCAACUGAAAAAAAGGCUGCUGUUCUCCAACAACGUCAAGCUCAAUAUUUUGCUCGAACACAGAGCCAUUUACCUCAGACUGCUUUUGAACCUCUGAAUACACUUUCACUCUUCCCUUCUAUGCUCAAUAGAAAUAAACUUUCUACAAUUUCGUCUGACGAACAAUAGAAUCGGUGUCCCAGCGUUUAUGAAAUAGGAUCAGCUUCAACAUGUAAUGAACACUUUGGCUAUUGUCCGGCACAGCUACUUAACAAAGAACCCGUCUCAUCUCCAGUGCAUUCUUGGAAUAUCAACUCACUACCUCUACCGCUUCUCUUUUAAAGAAAGUUCCAAACUGUAAAUUUUGCACUGUCAGGAAACUUCAAUAUGAAUCUCCUGGAUUCUGUUAUGGUAACGGUGCUGUAAAAUUGAUUUCACAUGAACUGCCUCCAAUGUUAAAGGAUCUCUAUUUCGGUUUGAGUGAUGAAUCUAAUCAUUUUCAUACUUA